AUAAGAUCUUGGAACUCUGAGUGAGUUCUGAGGGCUAACUUAAAAUCUGUUCUUAUCAGUUUAAUAUCUGAUACGUCCCCUAUCUGGGGACCAUAUAUUAAAUGGAUUUUUGAGAACGGGGGCCGAUUUCGAAGCUUGCUUCCGUCGCCCUAUGCAUUGACCCGAUAUGGCAGUAUCUUCGGGUACAGUGCACCACCC